rnacentral:rRNA from 1 species
GUCGAACGCUGGCGGCGUGCCUAAUACAUGCAAGUUGAGCGCUGAAGGUUGGUACUUGUACCAACUGGAUGAGCAGCGAACGGGUGAGUAACGCGUGGGGAAUCUGCCUUUGAGCGGGGGACAACAUUUGGAAACGAAUGCUAAUACCGCAUAAAAACUUUAAACACAAGUUUUAAGUUUGAAAGAUGCAAUUGCAUCACCCAAAGAUGAUCCCGCGUUGUAUUAGUUAGUUGGUGAGGUAAAGGCUCACCAAGGAGAUGAUACAUAGCCGACCUGAGAGGGUGAUCGGCCACAUUGGGACUGAGACACGGCCCAAACUCCUACGGGAGGCAGCAGUAGGGAAUCUUCGGCCAUGGACGGAAGUCUGACCGAGCAACGCCGCGUGAGUGGAGAAGGUUUUCGGAUCGUAAAACUCUGUUGGUAGAGAAGAACGUUGGUGAGAGUGGAAAGCUCAUCAAGUGACGGUAACUACCCAGAAAGGGACGGCUAACUACGUG